rnacentral:rRNA from 1 species
CCUACGGGUGGCAGCAGGAGGGAAUAUUCCACAAUGGGCGAAAGCCUGAUGGAGCAACGCCGCGUGGGUGAAGAAGGUCUUCGGAUCGUAAAACCCUGUUGUUAGAGAAGAAAGAGCGUGAGAGUAACUGUUAACGUUUCGACGGUAUCUAACAAGCAAGCCACGGCUACCUACGUGCCAGCAGCCGCGGUAAUACGUAGGCGGCAAGCGUUAUCCGGAUUUAUUGGGCGUAAAGGGAACGCAGGCGGGCUUUUAAGUCUGAUGUGAAAGCCUGCGGCUUAACCGGAGUAGUGCAUUGGAAACUGGAAGACUUGAGUGCAGAAGAGGAUGGUGGAACUCCAUGUGUAGCGGUGAAAUGCGUAGAUAUAUGGAAGAACACCAGUGGCGAAGGCGGCUCUCUGGUCUGUAACUGACGCUGAGGUUCGAAAGCGUGGGUAGCAAACAGGAUUAGAUACCCUUGUAGUC